rnacentral:rRNA from 1 species
UACAGAGGUCUCAAGCGUUGUUCGGAAUCACUGGGCGUAAAGGGUGCGUAGGCCGCACGGUAAGUCAGAGGUGAAAUCCCGGAGCUCAACUUCGGAAUUGCCUCCGAUACUCCCGUGCUUGAGGACUGGAGAGGAGUCUGGAAUUCACAGUGGAGCAGUGAAAUGCGUAGAUAUCGUGAGGAACACCAGAGGCGAAGGCGGUUACCUGGACAGUUACUGACGCUCAGGCACGAAAGCAUGGGGAGCAAAAGGG